CACUUGGGUUUUACUGUGACUGCUCAAAAUUUUGAAACUGGGUGGUCAGCUCGGUGCUGUCCCUGUUAGAUGGCGUUGUCUAGCUCUCCCACCAAAGGCCAAACAGCCCUGGCACAUUUUCUCAGCGGGGAGAGGCGGCGCCUGGUUCAUGCAUUGCGUUUUCUGUCUUCGAUUUGACGGAGUAUUGAAGUAUAAAACUUAAGAGUGCUCUCCCUCUCCCUCUCCCUCUCCCUCUCCCUCCCCCUCCCUCUCCCUCUCCCUCUCCCUCUCCCUCCACGGUCUCCCUCUGAUGCCGAGCCAAGGCUGGACGGUACUGCUGCCAUCUCGGCUCACUGCAACCUCCCUGCCUGAUUCUCCUGCCUCAGCCUGCCGAGUGCCUGCGAUUGCAGGCGCGCACCGCCACGCCUGACUGGUUUUCGUUUUUUUUUGGUGGAGACGGGGUUUCGCUGUGUUGGCCGGGCUGGUCUCCAGCUCCUAGCCGCGAGUGAUCCGCCAGCCUCGGCCUCCCGAGGUGCCGGGAUUGCAGAUGGAGUCUCGUUCACUCAGUGCUCAAUGGUGCCCAGGCUGGAGUGCAGUGGCGUGAUCUCGGCUCGCUGCAACCACCUCCCAGCCGCCUGCCUUGGCCUCCCGGAGAGCCGAGAUUGCAGCCUCUGCCCGGCCGCCACCCCGUCUGGGAAGUGAGGAGCGUCUCUGCUUGGCCACCCAUCGUCUGGGAUGUGAGGAGCCCCUCUGCCUGGCUGCCCAGUCUGGAAAGUGAGGAGCGUCUCUGCCUGGCCGCCAUCCCAUCUGGGAAGCGAGGAGCGCCUCUUCCCCGCCGCCAUCCCAUCUAGGAAGUGAGGAGCGUCUCUGCCCGGCCGCCCAUCGUCUGAGAUGUGGGGAGCACCUCUGCCCCGCCGCCCUGUCUGGGAUGUGAGGAGCGCCUCUGCUGGGCCGCAGCCCUGUCUGGGAGGUGGGGAGCGUCUCUGCCCGGCCGCUCCGUCUGAGAAGUGAGGAAACCCUCUGCCUGGCAACCGCCCCGUCUGAGAAGUGAGGAGCCCCUCCGUCCGGCAACCACCCCGUCUGGGAAGUGAGGAGCGUCUCCGCCCAGCAGCCACCCCGUCCGGGAGGGAGGUGGGGGGGGUCAGCCCCCCGCCCGGCCAGCCGCCCCGUCCGGGAGGUGAGGGGCUCCUCUGCCCGGCCGCCCCUACUGGGAAGUGAGGAGCCCCUCUGCCUGGCCAGCCGCCCCAUCCGGGAGGGAGGCGGGGGGGGGGGUCGGCCAGCCGCCCCGUCCGGGAGGGAGGUGGGGGGGUCAGCCCCCCGCCCGGCCAGCCGCCCCGUCCGGGAGGUGAGGGGCUCCUCUGCCCGGCCGCCCCUACUGGGAAGUGAGGAGCCCCUCUGCCCGGCCAGACGCCCCGUCCAGGAGGGAGGUGGGGGGGUCAGCCCCCCGCCCGGCCAGCCGCCCAGUCCGGGAGGGAGGUGGGGGGUCAGCCCCCCGCCCGGCCAGCCGCCCCGUCUGGGAGGGAGUUGGGGGGAUCAGCCCCCCGCCUGGCCAGCCGCCCCAUCCGGGAGGUGAGGGGCGCCUCUGCCCGGCCGCCCCUACUGGGAAGUGAGGAGCCCCUCUGCCCGGCCAGCCGCCCCGCCCGGGAGGGAGGUGGGGGGAUCAGCCCCCCGCCUGGCCAGUCGCCCCGUCCGGGAGGUGAGGGGCGCCUCUGCCCGGCCGCCCCUACUGGGAAGUGAGGACCCCUCUGCCCGGCCAGCCGCCCCGUCCGGGAGGGAGGUGGGGGGGACAGCCCCCCCGCCCAGCCAGCCGCCCUAUCCAGGAGGUGAGGGGCGCCUCUGCCCGGCCGUCCCUACUGGGAAGUGAGGAGCCCCUCUGCCUGGCCAGCCGCCCCGUCCGGGAGGGUGGUGGGGGGGUCAGCCCCCCGCCCGGCCAGCCGCCCCAUCCGGGAGGUGAGGGGCGCUUCUGCCCGGCCGCCCCUACUGGGAAGUGAGGAGCCCCUCUGCCCGGCCACGACCCCGUCUGGGAGGUGUGCCCAGCGGCUCAUUGGGGAUGGGCCAUGAUGACAAUGGCGGUUUUGUGGAAUAGAAAGGCGGGAAGGGUGGGGAAAAAAUUGAGAAAUCGGAUGGUUGCCGGGUCUCUGUGGAUAGAAGUAGACAUGGGAGACUUUUCAUUUUGUUCUGUACUAAGAAAAAUUCUUCUGCCUUGGGAUCCUGUUGAUCUGUGACCUUAUCCCCAACCCUGUGCUCUCUGAAACAUGUGCUGUGUCCACUCAGGGUUAAAUGGAUUAAGGGCGGUGCAAGAUGUGCUUUGUUAAACAGAUGCUUGAAGGCAGCAUGCUCGUUAAGAGUCAUCACCACUCCCUAAUCUUAAGUACCCAGGGACACAAACACUGCGGAAGGCCAAGGCCGCAGGGUCCUCUGCCUAGGAAAACCAGAGACCUUUGUUCACUUGUUUAUCUGCUGACCUUCCCUCCACUAUUGUCCUAUGACCCUGCCAAAUCCCCCUCUGCGAGAAACACCCAAGAAUGAUCAAUAAAAAAAAAAUAAAUUAAUUAAAAAAAAAAAAAAAAAAAAAAAAAAAAAAAAAAACUUAAGAGUGAGGCCAGGUGUGGUGGCUCAGGCCUGUAAGACCAAAACUUUGGGGGGGCCAAGGCGGGUGGAUCACUUGAACCCAGAAGUUCAAGACCAGCCUGGGCCACGUGGCAAAACCCUGUCUCUACAAAAAAUACAAAAAUUAGCCAGGUGUGGUGGUGCGUGCCUGGAGUCCCACCAACUCGGGAGACAGAGGUGGGAGGAUCGCUUGAGCCCAGGCCCUCAAGGCUGCAGUGAACCAUGACUGUGCCACUGCACUCCAGUCUGGAUGACAGAGCGAGACCCUUCUCAAAAAAAAAAAGUUGAUGGAACCCAAAGCCUACCUGAUGGAAAUGAAGGUGUCCCCAGAGUGCCACUGAGAGCGGGCGAGUCGGCCGUGGCCCUGCCGGCUGGAGUGUCAGAGUCAACCGUGGAGGUCACUGGCCCUGCCUUUUUUUUUUCUGAGAUGGAGUCUCACUCUGUUGCCCAGGCUGGAGUGCAGUGGCACGAUCUCAGCUCACUGCAACCUCCGCCUCCUGAGUUCAAGCUAUUCUCAUGUCUCAGCCUCCCCCUCCCAAGUAGCUGGGAUCACAGGCGCCCGCGAUCGCGCCCGGCUAAUUUUUGUAUUUUUUAGUAGAGACGGGGUUUUGCCAUGUUGGUCAGGUUGGUCUCGAACUGCUGACCUCAGGUGGUCCACCCGCCUCAGCCUCCCAAAGUGCUGGGAUACAGGUGUGAGCGACUGCGCCCGGCCGAGGCUCUGCCUUUUCAAAAGCAGAUUUGGACCUGGGCUGGUGCGGCCGCGGGAGCAGAUGUUUGCAGAUGCUGAACGUUUUCUCUGGCUGGGUUGGACAGGCUCACAGUCCCGCGCCUGGCAUCUCGCGUCACCCCACCUGCCUACAGCAGGGGAAGCGCGUCUCGGGAAGUGUCCUCGCCCCCUGCCUCGGGGGCUCUCCUUUGCCUGAGUUGGGCUUUGGCUGGCAUCACUGUUUUAUCUGUGCAGGGCCCAGGGCCGUGCCGUCACCCCUGGUGCCUGGCAUCUUGGACAGGAGCCUGGGAGCCUGGCUGCUACUUCCCUUUCUGGUGUACGGGCUGCAGUAUCAAAACAUUUUCACAAGAUGUCCCCAAAAGGCCUUUUAAGUCAGAGUGAGGGUUGACAGCGUCCGGUAUUCCUGGUGAGAAAUUAGGUCCAGCGUCACAGGAAGGACGGAUAUAACCAGCCCAUCAAUCCUAACUCAGUUUCUCCAGGUUAACAAAGUUAAAAGGGAUCGGGGAUAUUUUUUAAUGUACUCUUCAUUAACCUUCCAGAUGUAUUCUUUGCAGUAAGCCUAAGACUGCACUUGAAUGAUCAGCUCAGAGAUGAGUUCCUAAAAUAGGUCAGCGGCUGAAAUUGCUGUAGUUUUCCAAAUGCUGAGCUUAAGAAUGAGGAUCUUUGACAUCCGCUCAGUAUUGUAAAUGUCUGUAUUUCUUUGGAGACAGGGUCUUGCUCUGUCACCUAGGCUGGAGUGCAGUGGUGCAUUCAUGGUUCACUGUAGCCUUGAACUCCCAGGCGUGAGUGAAGCUCCUACCUCAGCCUCCCGAGUAGCUAGGACUACAGGUGUGCACCACCAUGCCCAGCUAAUUUAAAAAUAUAUAUUUUUUUAUAGAGAUAGGGUCUCACUACGUUGCCCAGGCUGGUCUCGAACUCCUGGCCUCAAGUGACCUUUCUACCUUGGCCUCCCGAAGUACUGGGCUUAUAGGCGUGAGCCAUGGUGCCUGGCCUUCAAUAUUGCAGAUGUGUUGAGAGGAUCAUUGUGUUCUGGGGAACCCGGUGACAGAGAAACUAGUCUGACUUUUCUGCGUGGAUGCAUAUGAAGUUUUUGCAGAUAAAUGUUGAUUUACUUCAUUUUGCUGAAAUGAUAUUAAAAACUUAUAAUCACAGUUUAUUAUACAAGGUGAAUAAAGGAAAGAGGAGAGUAUUUAGGCCGAGAUAUUAGUUGAAUGCUGUUAGAGAGAUUUUUUGCUGUUUUUCAAUUUGUUUGUCUUAUUUAGAGACAGUCUUGCUCUGUUGCCCAGGCUGGAGGGCAGUGGCGUCAUCACAGCUCACUGCAGCCCUGACUUCCUGGGCUCAAGGGAUCCUCUCACCUCAGCCUCCCAAGUAGCUGGGACCACAGGUGCAUGCCACGAUGCCCUGGUAAUUUUUAAUUUUUUUUGUAGAGGUGGGAUCUUGCUAUGUUGCCCAGGCUGGUCUCUAACUCCUGGGUUCAAGUGAUCCUCCCACCUCAGCCUCCCAAAGUGCUGGGAUUACAGGUGUGAGUGCCCGGCCCUGUUUUUCAUUUCUUUUGUUUGAGGAUGUUGUUCUUUGAUUUCUACCUCACAUUGUUCCGACAUCGGGAUGGGGAGGCUCUGCUGACAUGCAGUGUUGAGGCUGCACCCACUCCUGAGCUACAUUAUGACAUCAUCUUAGAACACAUUAAAAGCUAAGAUUUUCUUGCAAUCGAUGCUGCAAGAAAUGCCUUUUAAAAUGGCCUUUUUUGGCCGGGCGCAGUGGCUCACUCCUGUAAUCCCAGCACUUUGGGAGGCCGAGGUGGGCGGAUCGCGAGGUCAGGAGUUCGAGACCAGCCUGGCCAACAUGUUGAAACCCCCGUCUCGACUAAAGAUACAAAAAAAUUUAGCCAGGCGUGUUGGCACGUGCCUGUAAUCCCAGCUACUCGGGAGGCUGAGGCAGGAGAAUCGCUUGAACCUGGGAGGUGGAGGUUGCAGUGAGCUGAGAUCGUGCCAUUGCAGUCCAGUCUGAGCGACAGGGCGAGACUCUGUCUCCAAAAAAAAAAAAAAGCUUUUUAGAGCAGCUCUGUAAUUUUUCAUUCUGGAUGUUUCGUUCCACACUGAAGCUAUUUUUGCAGAUAGUUGUGCUGUGGUGAAUCUUAAGAAAAAAAUGAAACAGCAGUCCACUCAGAGGACCAGCGUUUCCCUCUUCUGGUUUCACUUAAACAGUCCCUGGAGAAUGAGGGCAAUUAGAAAGGUUACUGUUUCUAUGGCAAUUGGGUAAAAAGUUGAUGAGAUUCUAGAUAAAAUCGGCUGUUCAACAAGCCGGGGUCAGCGCACACAGUGCUGAGCAGUGUGAUCGUUUGCAGGGGUGAUUUGGGCCAGUCGUUUGGCUGGGUGUUCGCCCAUUUCCCCAGGACUUCUGUGGCACCCACGCUUUGUCCAUCACUCGCAGCCUCUGAUUCCCUGUUCUGCGGGAGCCAAGCCUAUCUUCCAUCGUGCUACACAGCUGGGUCUCUUGGCGGUAAAUCUUGGAAGUUCUGUCUGAAGCAGUGAUUCCUAAACUUGUUCAGGUGUCAGAAACCCAACCAGUCUUGGCCUUCCACGGCCUACCAAGAAUACAGCUGAACUGAGUGCUGCACAUGCAGUGUUCUGCAACACCAGAUGCAUCAGAUACUGAAUCUAGCAUAAACAGACAACAAGCAUCCAAGGUGUGAGAUGAAGUUUGUAGGAAGAAAGAUACCGUGGAGAAAAUGGUAUCACUUUAAGCUUUGCUGUAAACGAGAAAAGCCAACUUAAUCCAAUUUGAGGGCCAGAGAUCCUUGGGAGAUGGUUAAGAGUAUUUUGCAACAGUUGGGUUGAUCAGCUGUGGUUCAUGGUCUUAUUAAAACAGCUAGUAACGGCCAGGCACGAUGGCUCACAGCUGUAAUCCCAGCACUUUGGAAGGCGGAGGUGGAGAGAUCACUGAAGUCAGGAGUUUGAGACCAGCCUGACUGACAUGGUGAAAUCCUGUCUCUACUAAAAAUACAAAAAUUAGCCAGGCAUGGUGGUGGGCGCCUGUAGUUCCAGCUUCUCAGGAGGCCGAGGCAGGAGAAUUGCUUGAGCCCAUGAUGUGGAGGCUGCAGUGACUCGAGAUCGUACCACUGCACUCCAGCCUGGGCAACACAGCAAGACUGUCUCAAAAAAAAAAGUUUCAUAUCUCAGGUGUCAAUGAUUUAGUGUUCAAUAAAGUAGGAAAUGAGUGAUAUAACUCCUUAAUAUUAUAAAACUUGCAUACCUCCUCAAACAAUAAAAGAACCUAGUUAAGAUAAUAGGAUAUAAAACCAACACACAGGAUCAAAAACCUUCAUUCACACAAACAAUAAUCAGAAGAUGUAAUGGAAGAGGAAAACUCCAUUUACAAUGGUAAUAAAGAUAAAACACAUAGGAAUAAACUUAGGACAUACGUAAGACCUAUAUUGGAUAAAACUUUAAAACAUGAUUCAUGAAGUAUUAUUUUGGGAAGAAAAGAGAAAAAUGUGUGUUUCAUGAAAGGUACAAUAGUAGAUGCAAAUCAAUGGAAAGACAGUCCUUGUUCUUGGAAGACUCAACAACCAAGAAAGACGGGUGCCAGACAUGACGUGAGAGUAUGUGAGGAUGACCCUAGAUAGCCUGACAAGGGUAUCGCCUGAGAAUGUGUGAAGAUGACCCCAGAGAGCCUUACAAGGCUAUCUUGUAAAGGAUGUUCAGAUUUACCUAUUCAAGGCCCAUCUUGAGCUCUCCCUGCCACAGCCCUGGGAUCAGCCAUUUCUCCCAGGAGCCCUGGUCCGUAUUCAUGGGGGAUGGUAUUUAGGAGCAGUGUUCUGGGUGCCAGGAGUGCUCAGUGCCACUGGGAUGUCAUUGCAUCCAAGUCCUUUCAGCAUUUCUGUAUUAGUCAGUAUUCACACUGCUAUUCAGACAUACCUGAGACUGGUAAUUUAUAAAUAAAAAGAAGUUGAAUGGACUCACAGUUCCACAUGGCUGGGGAGGCCUCUCAGUCUUGGCGGAAGGCAAAAGGCACAUCUUACAUGGCAACAGAUGAGAGAAAAUGAGAACCAAGCAAAAGGGGUUUCCCCUUAUCAAACCAUCAGAUCUCAUGAGACUUACUCACUACCAAGAGAACAGUAUGGGGGAAACUGCCCCCAUGAUUCAAUUAUGUCCCACCAGGUCCCUCCCACAAUGCAUGGGAAUUAUGGGAGAUACAAUUCAAGAUGAGAUUUGGGUGGGGACACAGCCAAACCAUAUCAAUUUCCAAAAAUAAAAAUGAAAAAAAAUUAUUUUCCUUUUUUCCUUUUUUUUUUUCACCCAGGCUGGAGUGCAGUGGUGUGAUCAUAGUUCACUGCAGCCUCCAUCUUCCAGGCUCAAGCAAUCCUUCCACCUCAGCCUCCUAAGUAGCUGGGACUAUAUGCGUGCACCACCACACCCAGCUAAUUUUCUAUUUUUAUUUUUGUAGACAUGAGGUCUUACUGUUUGCCCAGGCUGGUCUUGAACUCCUGGUGUCCAUCCAUCCUCCUGACUCAGCCUCCCAAAGAGCUGGGAUUACAGGCCUGAGUCACUGCACCUGGCCAUGAUUCACUUUUUUUUUUUUUUUUUUUUUGAGCUGGAGUCUUGCUCUGUCGCCCAGGCUGGAGUGCAGUGGCGCGGUCUCAGCUCAUUGCAACCUCUGCCUCCCGGGUUCAAUAGGUUCUGAUGCCUCAGCCUCCUGAGUAGCUGGGAUUAUAGGUACAUGCCACCAUGCCUGGCUAAUUUUUGUAUUUUUAGUAGAGAUGGAGUUUUGCCACGUUGGCCAGGCUGGUGUUGAACUCCUGACUUCAAGUGAUCCAUCCACCUCAGCCUCCCAAAGUGCUGGGAUUACAGGUGUGAGCCACCGCACCCGGCCGACUUCUAAUGAACAGAAUAUGGCAAAAGCCUAGGGAAGUCACUUCUGAGAUUAGGGUGCAAGGAGACUGUGAUGUGCGUCUUGUGUGUGCCUCCUCUUGUGUGUGCUUGCACCGUCUAAGGCAAGCCAGCUGCAGUGUUGUGAGCUUCCUUGUGGUAAGGCCCAUGUACCAAGGAACUGAGGGUGGCCUUUGGGCAGCAGCCAGCAAGGCUGAGGCCCUUCUCUAAUGACCUUGGAGGACUGAGUCCUUACAAUAUCCGUGUGUGUGAGCUUGGGAGUGGAUCAUUCCAGAUAAGCUUUCCGAUGAAACCACAACCCUGGGGGGACACCUUGACCACAACUUGGUGAACCCUUGAGGCAAAGGCACAGAGCUUAGCCACGCCCACUUUCCUGACCGCGGAUACCAUGAAAAAAUAAAUGUUCUUUUAGGCUG
rnacentral:lncRNA from 1 species